rnacentral:rRNA from 1 species
UACGGAGGGUGCAAGCGUUAUCCGGAUUCACUGGGUUUAAAGGGUGCGUAGGCGGUACAGCAAGUCCGUUGUGAAAUCUCCGAGCUUAACUCGGAAAUUGCGGUGGAUACUAUUGUUCUUGAAUACUGUUGAGGUUAGCGGAAUAUGUCAUGUAGCGGUGAAAUGCAUAGAUAUGACAUAGAACACCAAUUGCGAAGGCAGCUGGCUAAACAGAUAUUGACGCUGAGGCACGAAAGCGUGGGGAUCAAACAGG